rnacentral:rRNA from 1 species
GACGAACGCUGGCGGCGCGCCUAACACAUGCAAGUCGAACGGAGCUGAGAGAAGCUUGCUUUUCUUAGCUUAGUGGCGAACGGGUGAGUAACGCGUGAGUAACCUGCCUUGGAGUGGGGGAUAACAGCUGGAAACGACUGCUAAUACCGCAUAAGCUCACGAUCCGGAUUGGGAUUGAGGGAAAAGGAUUUUUUCUCUUCAGGAUGGACUCGCCUCCACUUAGCUAGUUGGUUAGGUAACGACCCACCAAGGAGACGAUUGGUACACGGACUGUGAGGUUGAGCGCCGACAUCGAGGCUAAGCCGCGGUACAGACUCCUACGCGAGGCAGGAGUGGGGGAUAGUGCAAAGUGGCGUAAACCCUGAUGCAGCGACGCCGCGAGGAGGAAGAAGUUUGUCAGAUUGUAAUCUGCUGUCAUUAAGGACGAUAUUGACGGUACCUAACAAGAAAGCAACGGCUAACUACGUG